UGGGGAAUAUUGGACAAUGGGCGCAAGCCUGAUCCAGCAAUGCCGCGUGUGUGAAGAAGGCCUUCGGGUUGUAAAGCACUUUUAUCAGGAGCGAAACGCUGUCGGCUAAUACCCGGCGGAACUGACGGUACCUGAGGAAUAAGCACCGGCUAACUUCGUGCCAGCAGCCGCGGUAAUACGAAGGGUGCAAGCGUUAAUCGGAAUUACUGGGCGUAAAGCGUGCGUAGGCGGUUUCUUAAGUCUGCUGUGAAAUCCCCGGGCUCAACCUGGGAAUGGCAGUGGAUACUGGGAGGCUAGAGUGUGUCAGAGGGUGGUGGAAUUCCCGGUGUAGCGGUGAAAUGCGUAGAGAUCGGGAGGAACAUCAGUGGCGAAGGCGGCCACCUGGGACAACACUGACGCUGAGGCACGAAAGCGUGGGGGAGCAAACAGGAUUAGGAUACCCUGGUAGUCCACGCCCUAAACGAUGCGAACUGGAUGUUGGUCUCAACUCGGAGAUCAGUGUCGAAGCUAACGCGUUAAGUUCGCCGCCUGGGGAGUACGGUCGCAAGACUG
rnacentral:rRNA from 1 species